GCCACCAAACAUUGUCUUUUUGGCUAUGAGUUUAUCUAACACCUGCUGUCAGGCCGUUGGCUAACCACCAACCAAUCCCCAGCCUGUCACAUCCGUAUCCAAACAGUAGCCAAGGCAGCCUGCACAGUGCUGUUUCCUGGGUUUGUGACCUGCCCCAGCUCCGUCCCAAGCUGCCAGGCCAAGGCUCUGCCUGGACCAGACACGUUUGAACUUAAGAAAGGUACACAGUUCUGCACAGUGGACACCAGGAACUCGAGAAACUGCCCAUACACAAUGACCCAGAAUCCCUGGAAUCAUGCUUCUGAUUGAGGACAUGGCUCACAACUAAGCCAUUCAUUCCCAUUCAUGUCUGCAUGAACAGAACACCCUGGCAUCUCUCCUGACCCUCAUCACCACCUGUGAGGCAUGGGGCCAUGGGGCCGAGGGCCCAGGGAAGGCACGUGGGUGA
rnacentral:lncRNA from 1 species